GGCCACUAAUACAGUGUAGAGGUCACCCAGCUUGGAAAGUGCUGCAGACCUGGUUCUGUCAUCCGGAGACUAAUCGUGCAGUGUGAAAGACUGUCCUUCGCACCUUUAGAAAUACCCAGAGAAUUGAUCUCCCCUAGCCAGUCGCCAAGAUUAUGAAUCAGCGAGAAUCCGCUCGGAGUGUACUACCGACGCUGGACUGCGACAUCACCAGCACAGGAAUUGGUUUUACACGCGUACAAAUGUGCUCAGUGGGCACAGGACCUGGCGCACCGAGAGGGGCUAUUUGGGGCAACAGAAGCCAUAGUGUAAAAGUACGCAUCUGUAUGUCCGCUCUUGUCCUGGUUUUUAUAUUCACAAAGCUAAAUAGCGCAACAAAAACAGAUUGAUACUUCUAUAAAGUCAGUGGCUUACUUAUACAUACAUUCCAAUGCAACUGUUGUUAAAAAUGUAAAGCCAUCACCCAGACGGGGAAACUGUUUGUUGGUUUAAUCACUUCCUCCACAUACUGUAAAGUUUUUAGCUUUAUGUUGUGUAUUCUUAUACGCUUAUUUCAGUAAUUAUCAAUAUGA